rnacentral:rRNA from 1 species
GUGGCGGACGGGUGAGUAACACGUGGGAACGUGCCCUUUGGUACGGAAUAACUCAGGGAAACUUGAGCUAAUACCGUAUGUGCCCUUCGGGGGAAAGAUUUAUCGCCAUUGGAGCGGCCCGCGUCUGAUUAGCUAGUUGGUGAGGUAACGGCUCACCAAGGCGACGAUCAGUAGCUGGUCUGAGAGGAUGACCAGCCACAUUGGGACUGAGACACGGCCCAAACUCCUACGGGAGGCAGCAGUGGGGAAUCUUGCGCAAUGGGCGAAAGCCUGACGCAGCCAUGCCGCGUGGAUGAUGAAGGUCUUAGGAUUGUAAAAUCCUUUCACCGGUGAAGAUAAUGACUGUAGCCGGAGAAGAAGCCCCGGCUAACUUCGUGCCAGCAGCCGCGGUAAUACGAAGGGGGCUAGCGUUGCUCGGAAUUACUGGGCGUAAAGGGCGCGUAGGCGGACAUUUAAGUCAGGGGUGAAAUCCCAGAGCUCAACUCUGGAACUGCCUUUGAUACUGGAUGUCUUGAGUGUGAGAGAGGUAUGUGGAACUCCGAGUGUAGAGGUGAAAUUCGUAGAUAUUCGGAAGAACACCAGUGGCGAAGGCGACAUACUGGCUCAUUACUGACGCUGAGGCGCGAAAGCGUGGGGAGCAAACAGGAUUAGAUACCCUGGUAGUCCAC